CCUGUAGGUGGCCAACGCCGGGCGCUGGGCCGCCGCUCCUGCCUUGCACGUUAGAGAGCCGGUACAUGCAGGUGGGAAGCUCCACACGGAGAGGCGCGCCGCGCCCGUGAUAAGGUUUUACCUGGUACAUCGGCAUGGCGGAACCAAAGCAAGAGAGGGUGGCGCGUGCCAAACACCAACGCUCAGAAACCGUCCGAGGCUACGACUGGGGGCGGACAUCUCCCUUGUGACCCUGCUGCGGUCGUUCGGGAAAAAAAAAAAAAGCAGUCCGGUGUGCUCUGAUUGGCCCAUGCUCUUUGACGUCACGGACUCGACCUUUGACGGAGCUAAUAGGCGAAAAGGAGAGACGGGAAGUAUUUUUUCCGCCCCGCCCAGAAAGGGUGGAGCACAACGUCAAAAGCAGCCAAUGGGAGCCCAGGAGGCGGGGCGCCUGUGGGAGUCGUGGAGGGAACUUUCCCAGGCCCCGAGGCGGAUCGGGUAUUGAGUCCAUGGAGCGAGCUGAGAGCUAGAGUACAGAACCUGCUAAGGCCAUCAAACCUAUCGAUCGGAAGUCAGUCCAUCAGAUUUGCUCUGGGCCGGUGGUACUGAGUCUAAGCACUGCGGUGAAGGAGUUAGUAGAAAACAGUCUGGAUGCUGGUGCCACCAAUAUUGAUCUAAAGCUUAAGGACUAUGGAGUGGAUCUCAUUGAAGUUUCAGACAAUGGAUGUGGGGUAGAAGAAGAAAACUUUGAAGGCUUAACGAUGUCACCAUUUCUACCUGCCACGCAUCGGCGAAGGUUGGGACUCGACUGGUGUUUGAUCACGAUGGGAAAAUCAUCCAGAAAACCCCCUACCCCCACCCCAGAGGGACCACAGUCAGCGUGAAGCAGUUAUUUUCUACACUACCUGUGCACCAUAAGGAAUUUCAAAGGAAUAUUAAGAAGACGUGCCUGUUUCCCCUUCGCCUUCUGCCGUGAUUGUCAGUUUCCUGAGGCCUCCCCAGCCAUGCUUCCUGUACAGCCUGCAGAACUAUAGGGGUCUCACUGUCACCCACGCUGGAGUGCAGUGGCGCAAUCUCGGCUCACUACAACCUCUGCCUCCCAGGCUCAAGUGAUUCUCCCACCUUAGCCUCCUGAGUAGCUGGGACCACAGGCCUGAGAAGACUCACCAGCAAGA
rnacentral:lncRNA from 1 species